AGGGGUGUAGCCAAGCGGUAAGGCACUAGACUUUGACUCUAGCAUUUCGUAGGUCCGAAUCCUGCCACCCCUGCCA
rnacentral:tRNA from 1 species